rnacentral:rRNA from 1 species
GACGAACGCUGGCGGCGUGCUUAACACAUGCAAGUCGAACGGAAAGGCCCUGCCUUUGUGGGGUGCUCGAGUGGCGAACGGGUGAGUAACACGUGAGUAACCUGCCCUUGACUUUGGGAUAACUUCAGGAAACUGGGGCUAAUACCGGAUAGGAGCUCCUGCUGCAUGGUGGGGGUGGGAAAGUUUCGGCGGUUGGGGAUGGACUCGCGGCUUAUCAGCUUGUUGGUGGGGUAGUGGCUUACCAAGGCUUUGACGGGUAGCCGGCCUGAGAGGGUGACCGGCCACAUUGGGACUGAGAUACGGCCCAGACUCCUACGGGAGGCAGCAGUGGGGAAUAUUGCACAAUGGGCGGAAGCCUGAUGCAGCAACGCCGCGUGCGGGAUGACGGCCUUCGGGUUGUAAACCGCUUUCGGCUGGGACGAAGCGUGAGUGACGGUAACUGGUAAAGAAGCACCGGCUAACUACGUG